UAAAAUUAUUGUUUUGAUUUAUUUACCAAAAACGUGAUUGUAAAUUAACAAAAGAUAUUGGUUUUGAUUUAUGUGCUUACUCUAAUGUAUAUACUUUUAUGCAUACAAAUUAUUUUUUAAAUAGGUUUUUUUUAAUAUCUUAUUUGAUCCUGACAAUUCCAAAAACACAUUUCUUCAAAUCGAAGUGAUUAAAUAAUUUAGUCUUCAUUUUUAUUCCUAAAAUUUUUUUUAUGAAAUAUCAUGACAUGAUAUGAUUCCAAUCACCUUCUUUUGAAUUUUUUCGAAGAAUGAGAGAUUUGAUAAUUCGUCUAAUAUUGUUUUCUCCCUAAUACCCUA
rnacentral:lncRNA from 1 species